rnacentral:misc_RNA from 1 species
GAUGAAGAACGUAGCGAAAUGCGAUAAGUAAUGUGAAUUGCAGAAUUCAGUGAAUCCUCGAAUCUUUGAACGCACAUUGCGCCCCUUGGUAUUCCGAGGGGCAUGCCUGUUCGAGCGUCAUUAUAACCCCUCAAGCUCAGCUUGGUGUUGGGGCCUGCUGCACUGGCAGCCCUUAAAAUCAGUGGCGGCGCCAUCUGGCUCUAAGCGUAGUAAUUCUUCUCGCUAUGGAGUCCUGGUGGAUGCUUGCCAUCAACCCCCAAUUUUUCUAUGGUUGACCUCGGAUCAGGUAGGGAUACCCGCUGAACUUAAGCAUAUCAAUAAGCGGAGGA